GUCCUGGCCCUAAACGAUGGGUACUAGGUAGUAGACUUGACAUGGGUUUACUGCCGGAGCUAAAGUGCUAAGUACCCCGCCUGGGGAGUAUGGUCGCAAGGCUGAAACUCAAAGGAAUUGACGGGGGCUCACACAAGCGGUGGAGCAUGUGGCUUAAUUCGAGGCUACGCGAAGAACCUUAUCCUAGGCUUGACAUGUGCGAAAGCGCCAGCAGGUAGGACCCGGAAACGGGAACGAACGGUAUCCAAUCCGGAAGCUGGUACAGGUGCUGCAUGGCUGUCGU
rnacentral:rRNA from 1 species